rnacentral:rRNA from 1 species
UUACAACUUUCAACAACGGAUCUCUUGGUUCUGGCAUCGAUGAAGAACGCAGCGAAAUGCGAUACGUAGUGUGAAUUGCAGAAUUCAGUGAAUCAUCGAAUCUUUGAACGCACAUUGCGCCCUUUGGUAUUCCAAAGGGCAUGCCUGUUCGAGCGUCAUU